rnacentral:rRNA from 1 species
AUGUGUCUUCCAGCUCUAGCUCGAGUGCCCUUGCAGUCAGCGAUGAGCAUGACCGGCAUCUUCAGUUCUUGCCAUCUGAUGAUCAUGUCGCUGGCGGCAGUGCUCCAGGGCAUGCGGCUUUCGUGCAGGUCGGUGAUUGAGGAUACCGUGUACGGGAGGGCUGAUGGUGUAUCGAUGGAAGAUGAAGGUUGCGAAGAUGAGUCACAAGUCCAGUCCCGUUCUUCAACCGUGGAAGAGGUGGGUACCUAUGAUCCAGAAAAUCAGAGCUACGCCGGCGGUGAUAACCAGGGGCGAACCCACGUUAUGCUUUUGAGUAUAUUCAUCGCCCACGCAAAGCAAGCUCAAUCCGAAAGUUCAAAGGCAAGAAAAUCCAUCUAA